GACGGGACCGCACAAGCGGUGGAUGAUGUGGUUUAAUUCGAUGCAACGCGAAAACCUUACCCACCUUUGACAUGUACGGAAUCCUUUAGAGAUAGAGGAGUGCUCGAAAGAGAACCGUAACACAGGUGCUGCAUGGCUGUCGUCAGCUCGUGUCGUGAGAUGUUGGGUUAAGUCCCGCAACGAGCGCAACCCUUGCCAUUAGUUGCUACGAAAGGGCACUCUAAUGGGACUGCCGGUGACAAACCGGAGGAAGGUGGGGAUGACGUCAAGUCCUCAUGGCCCUUAUAGGUGGGGCUACACACGUCAUACAAUGGCCGGUACAGAGGGUAGCCAACCCGCGAGGGGGAGCCAAUCCCACAAAGCCGGUCGUAGUCCGGAUCGCAGUCUGCAACUCGACUGCGUGAAGUCGGAAUCGCUAGUAAUCGCGGAUCAGCAUGUCGCGGUGAAUACGUUCCCGGGUCUU
rnacentral:rRNA from 1 species